UACGAAGGGGGCUAGCGUUGCUCGGAAUUACUGGGCGUAAAGGGUGUGUAGGCGGAUAGUUUAGUCAGGGGUGAAAGCCCAGGGCUCAACCCUGGAAUUGCCUUUGAUACUGGCUAUCUUGAGUUCGGGAGAGGUAAGUGGAACUCCGAGUGUAGAGGUGAAAUUCGUAGAUAUUCGCAAGAACACCAGUGGCGAAGGCGGCUCACUGGCCCGAUACUGACGCUGAGGCACGAAAGCGUGGGGAGCAAACAGG
rnacentral:rRNA from 1 species